rnacentral:rRNA from 1 species
CGGCGGACGGGUGAGUAAUGCUUAGGAAUCUGCCUAUUAUGGGGGACAACAUCUCGAAAGGGAUGCUAAUACCGCAUACGUCCUACGGGAGAAAGCAGGGGACCUUCGGGCAUUGCGCUAAUAGAUGAGCCUAAGUCGGAUUAGCUAGUUGGUGGGGUAAAGGCCUACCAAGGCGACGAUCCGUAGCGGGUCUGAGAGGAUGAUCCGCCACACUGGGACUGAGACACGGCCCAG